rnacentral:rRNA from 1 species
UUAAGCGACUAAGCGUACACGGUGGAUGCCUAGGCAGUCAGAGGCGAUGAAGGGCGUGCUAAUCUGCGAAAAGCGUCGGUAAGCUGAUAUGAAGCGUUAUAACCGACGAUACCCGAAUGGGGAAACCCAGUGCAAUACGUUGCACUAUCGUUAGAUGAAUACAUAGUCUAACGAGGCGAACCGGGGGAACUGAAACAUCUAAGUACCCCGAGGAAAAGAAAUCAACCGAGAUUCCCCCAGUAGCGGCGAGCGAAAGGGGGGGAGCCCAGAGUCUGAAUCAGUUUGUGUGUUAGUGGAAGCGUCUGGAAAGUCGCACGGUACAGGGUGAUAGUCCCGUACACCAAAAUGCACAGGCUGUGAACUCGAUGAGUAGGGCGGGACACGUGACAUCCUGUCUGAAUAUGGGGGGACCAUCCUCCAAGGCUAAAUACUCCUGACUGACCGAUAGUGAACCAGUACCGUGAGGGAAAGGCGAAAAGAACCCCGGCGAGGGGAGUGAAAUAGAACCUGAAACCGUGUACGUACAAGCAGUGGGAGCACCUUCGUGGUGUGACUGCGUACCUUUUGUAUAAUGGGUCAGCGACUUAUAUUUUGUAGCAAGGUUAACCGAAUAGGGGAGCCGUAGGGAAACCGAGUCUUAACUGGGCGUCUAGUUGCAAGGUAUAGACCCGAAACCCGGUGAUCUAGCCAUGGGCAGGUUGAAGGUUGGGUAACACUAACUGGAGGACCGAACCGACUAAUGUUGAAAAAUUAGCGGAUGACUUGUGGCUGGGGGUGAAAGGCCAAUCAAACCGGGAGAUAGCUGGUUCUCCCCGAAAGCUAUUUAGGUAGCGCCUCGUGAACUCAUCUUCGGGGGUAGAGCACUGUUUCGGCUAGGGGGCCAUCCCGGCUUACCAAACCGAUGCAAACUCCGAAUACCGAAGAAUGUUAUCACGGGAGACACACGGCGGGUGCUAACGUCCGUCGUGAAGAGGGAAACAACCCAGACCGCCAGCUAAGGUCCCAAAGUCAUGGUUAAGUGGGAAACGAUGUGGGAAGGCACAGACAGCCAGGAUGUUGGCUUAGAAGCAGCCAUCAUUUAAAGAAAGCGUAAUAGCUCACUGGUCGAGUCGGCCUGCGCGGAAGAUGUAACGGGGCUAAACCAUGCACCGAAGCUGCGGCAGCGACGUUUAGGCGUUGUUGGGUAGGGGAGCGUUCUGUAAGCCGUUGAAGGUGACCUGUGAGGGUUGCUGGAGGUAUCAGAAGUGCGAAUGCUGACAUAAGUAACGAUAAUGCGGGUGAAAAACCCGCACGCCGGAAGACCAAGGGUUCCUGUCCAACGUUAAUCGGGGCAGGGUGAGUCGACCCCUAAGGCGAGGCUGAAAAGCGUAGUCGAUGGGAAACAGGUUAAUAUUCCUGUACUUGGUGUUACUGCGAAGGGGGGACGGAGAAGGCUAGGCUGGCCGGGCGACGGUUGUCCCGGUUUAAGCGUGUAGGGGGAGUGACCAGGUAAAUCCGGUUGCUUAUCAACCCUGAGGCGUGAUGACGAUGCACUACGGUGCAGAAGCAGUUGAUGCCAUGCUUCCAGGAAAAGCCUCUAAGCAUCAGGUAACAUUAAAUCGUACCCCAAACCGACACAGGUGGUCAGGUAGAGAAUACUCAGGCGCUUGAGAGAACUCGGGUGAAGGAACUAGGCAAAAUGGUGCCGUAACUUCGGGAGAAGGCACGCUGGCGUUAGGUGAAAGGACUAGCUCCUGGAGCUGAAGCCAGUCGCAGAUACCAGCUGGCUGCAACUGUUUAAUAAAAACACAGCACUGUGCAAACACGAAAGUGGACGUAUACGGUGUGACGCCUGCCCGGUGCUGGAAGGUUAAUUGAUGGGGUCAGCCGCAAGGCGAAGCUCUUGAUCGAAGCCCCAGUAAACGGCGGCCGUAACUAUAACGGUCCUAAGGUAGCGAAAUUCCUUGUCGGGUAAGUUCCGACCUGCACGAAUGGCGUAAUGAUGGCCAGGCUGUCUCCACCCGAGACUCAGUGAAAUUGAACUCGCUGUGAAGAUGCAGUGUACCCGCGGCAAGACGGAAAGACCCCGUGAACCUUUACUAUAGCUUGACACUGAACAUUGAGCCUUGAUGUGUAGGAUAGGUGGGAGGCCUUGAAGUGUGGACGCCAGUCUGCAUGGAGCCAACCUUGAAAUACCACCCUUUAAUGUUUGAUGUUCUAACUCGGCCCCAUGAUCUGGGGUGAGGACAGUGUCUGGUGGGUAGUUUGACUGGGGCGGUCUCCUCCCAAAGAGGAACGGAGGAGCACGAAGGUUAGCUAAUCACGGUCGGACAUCGUGAGGUUAGUGCAAAGGCAUAAGCUAGCUUGACUGCGAGAGUGACGGCUCGAGCAGGUACGAAAGUAGGUCUUAGUGAUCCGGUGGUUCUGAAUGGAAGGGCCAUCGCUCAACGGAUAAAAGGUACUCCGGGGAUAACAGGCUGAUACCGCCCAAGAGUUCAUAUCGACGGCGGUGUUUGGCACCUCGAUGUCGGCUCAUCACAUCCUGGGGCUGAAGUAGGUCCCAAGGGUAUGGCUGUUCGCCAUUUAAAGUGGUACGCGAGCUGGGUUUAGAACGUCGUGAGACAGUUCGGUCCCUAUCUGCCGUGGGCGUUGGAAGAUUGAGAGGGGCUGCUCCUAGUACGAGAGGACCGGAGUGGACGAAUCACUGGUGUUCGGGUUGUCAUGCCAAUGGCAUUGCCCGGUAGCUAAAUUCGGAAGAGAUAACCGCUGAAAGCAUCUAAGCGGGAAACUUGCCUCGAGAUGAGUCUUCCCUGGGGCUUAAAGCCCCCUGAAGGAACGUUAAAGACUAUGACGUUGAUAGGCUGGGUGUGUAAGUGCAGCGAUGUAUUGAGCUAACCAGUACUAAUGAUCCGUGAGGCUUAACCUU